CUCUGCCUGGUGCCUGGGCUCAGCCUCCUACAGAUACCCUCCUUAAACCAGAGAGACCUAGCAGCUUUUGUUACCUGUAAGCUCACUUCCUCUGGAGAUCUGUGAUGACUCAAGUAGACUUUCAAUUCCAAUCCAGUUUUUUUUCUUCCACCCACAAGCUGCAAAAAUGUGAAGCAGACCAGAUAAAAUUUAACAAGAGACCAAGUUAUAAAUUUCUUUAAUUUAGCUAAAUUUCUUUAUGAUUUCCUUUGUGCUUUAAUUUGGAACAGAUAGUCUGCUUCAUACAGUCCAUGUAUGUGAUUAUGUCUGCUUUGUGUUUUAGUUCAGGUCUAUGCCAGCACAAAAACAAAUAAUAAAGAAAAUACAAACAAAACCUAACUCACUCCAGGGAGUGUAUUAGUUUUGAAUCAGAAAAUGACUGGAAAGCCAUAGCUCCUUAGCAGCACAGUUUAUAGGGUUUAUACCUGAAAAUAAGUCAAAAGUGGGCAGAGCAUUCACUGCACAUUGAUGGGAUACUGAUGUUGGAAACCAGUGAGUUACCUUUCUCCUUCAGAGAAGCUGAUGGAAUUUUGGAGGCAGCUGAUGGAGGCAGCUUCCAUUUUCAUCCCCAGUGUGUUCUCCCCAAAAGCAGUUAUCUGUUGGAAAUAUCCCAUCAGCUAGGUCUCAGCAGCAAGCACUAGCUUUUGAAGACACAUGGGAUUGACCAGAAUGCUUUUUGAAUUCUCAGGUUUAAGCGUACUUCUUUUGGGUCCAUUUUUGUAUAAUGAUCCAGCUGACUAUGUUUGAAGAGUUUUUAUCUAUUGAGAAGAAUAUUGAUGAAGAAAUGAGAAAAGGGACUUUGAAGGAAAACAGGACUCUUCAUGUGCUGAUUCUGUAUCUUCCAAAAACAUUCUCCUGUAAGCCACAGUUGCAUGUUGUCACUAGAGAGUCGCUGGACAUAAGGCUGCUUGAGCAAUUCAAAAGAAAAAACAUGAGGCAACAACUGGUCUUUGUAAAGCUCAUUAAAACAGAGAAAGCCUUGAAGCAGAAACUUCUGUUUCUCAAGUUAUUUCCCUUCAUCAGCAUCCACCCAGGUUAUCUCAAGCAGAGGUGUGUGCUCCUUCCAAUUUUCUGAGACAAGCAGUUAUUAUACAUAGAUGCUUAGAGGAUGUACACAAAGGAGAACACGCCCUGCCUGCCGUAAUGGACUUGAACUGAUGAGGAAAGGACAUCAAAAUUCAACUUGCAGAGAAGAAGAAAAGCCAGUUCCAAACCCUGGAGCAAUUAUGUGACUUUCUUCCAAUUUAUUCUCACUUCUUACCGAAAUUUAUCUCUGCAAGGAGUGACUGAGUGACUGAAAGAAUAUCUGUGAGAAUGAAGCCUUCAGAGGAAUAUCUCAGGUCAGUGAAGGAAUAGUCAAACACAAUGAAUUAUCAUUCAAGAUAAUGUCAUAUUUUUAGCUAUGAGUUUUGGGAUCAGGGGUUUUAGUUUGUUUGUAAAUAAUUGAAAACAAGAUUAAUUUUUUUUCUUUUCUUUUUUUUUCCAUCUUUCAUAUUCCAAGGGAAUGAUAUUUUUUGGCCAAUUCUGGCAGGAUUACUUCAAGUAUGUCUCAUAGUUGACUCAAAAAUAAAAGGAAAUAGUGUGAAACUCAUCAUCAUGAUUUUGUAAUUUUGCACAUUUUAUUUUGAUACUCCUUUUGUAAUGUUAUUUCAAAAAGCAUAAUAAAAGUUUUCUUUAAAUUAUGACUUCUAUGAGUUGAUGUUUUUCUAUUAGGCCCAGCAUAAGUGGAAAAAACAUCAUCUCCCCUUCUUUCAGUGGCUCAAAUUUUGUCUUGGCUGCUCUUUUCUCUUGUUCUCUUUCAACCUCUUGUAAGAUAUCUCAACAGCAAAAUAUCUCUAUUUAAAGUACUAUGAAUAUCUAAUAGCUGAUAAAAAUUAGCAAUCACAGGCUAAACCCUAAUGAAUCAUAUGUAUCAUUGGGGUCAUAAAUUGUAUGACAUAUACAUAUAUAUAUAUGUGUGUGCAGAAAGAGAGACGGGGAAAUUUUAUUUUCAAUGUUGAUCUGUUGGAAGGAAGAGGGAGGAAAGAAGGAAGAUUCAAAAGAAUCUCUCAGUAUCAUAGGUAAACUCUUAUCUUCAAAUCUAUUUUGCUGUCCUUCUCAUGUAAAUGUCAUGAAAACUAUCAGUGGUGAGAAAAUCCACUUACAGUACACUAGUGUUCAUAAAAUUCAAGAUCCUUAAUAGAAUGUUGUCCCUAAUGAAAAUAGAAAAAAAGAAAGAAAGAAAAAAAAAUAUUUCUGGGAAUUUCUACUUUUUCUAUAAAGCCCCCUUGUUAUAUUGUCUUUGGCUGAAAUUUGUGAAAAUUGAGUCAGUAGGACACUGAUUUAUUCUGAGGGUAUAUAUAUCCAG
ensembl:lncRNA